UGGUGCGUCCCUACUUCCUGAAACAUCACGAAUGUGAGUAAAUCUACCUCUUUGAUAUUGCAAUUUUACUAAAAAGAGGUCUAUUUUUGCACACAGCCGUUGACAGGAUCAUCG
rnacentral:pre_miRNA from 1 species